UUUUCCCUUUCAGAAACACUCAGGCUACUGAAUCUACAUCAAUAUAUCCAGAGUCAGUGUUCCCGAAUCGAUAGUUAUCAGCACUUGAUCAAAAUUUCCCCAAAGGAAUUCAGAGAGAUUACUCUUCAAGUGGUUUUAACCAAAGCCACAAAGUCUGUUUAAUAAUUCAUCAUGAUAAAAUUAUUUUAAAACAGGACAGCCUGUGCCUGUUAAAACCCAUUUAAAUUUAAUGAAUCAAGGCGUUUUUUCUUAAUUAUUUGUUCAAAUACAUUUUUUAUACACGUGGUAACAGCUACAGCACUCGAGUUCAGUUGAGGUGCAGUACUGGACACACCUAUGAAUCUGAAUUAUAUAAACGCUGACUGUCCACCCCCCCCCCCCCUUGUGCCAUGAAGCAGAACAUGCUUCUAAGCUUUUCUCCCAGGGGGUGCAAGGAGAGAGAGCCCCACCUGCCACCCGUUACAGCCACCUGCAUGAAGAAGCCCGCCAGCAGUGCCUUCUUGAUGUUCAGAGCGUUGGCCUUCGUCCCGAAGGAUGGCUCCGACACGGGCAGCUCAAUGCGCCUUAGGAUGUCGAUGAGCUCCGACCGGAUAGCUUCGGCCGUCCGAAGCGCCGGGUAGCUGAGGAAGCUGUCCUGGCACCACUUCUCAAUGCUCAGGUCUGCAAGGAGAGCGGGCCGGAACUCAGUUUCAGAGAGAGCCUGAAGUCUAUCCUAGCCUAUCCCAAAAAGCACAGCAAGCAAGGCCGGAGACACCCAGGAUGACAUCACAGCACAUGGCAGGAGGAACCAUGUUUCUGGACUGUGGAAGGACUUCCACACAGAGUGGGGGUGCGGUUCGAACCUUAGCCCUAGAGAUGUGAGGGGAUAGUGUUGUCCAUGCAGCCAUCUUACCGCCCCCUAAAUAUGUAAUAUGCAAAUAUAGUUGGUUUUUCCUAUAAUGAGAGAAAGCAGAGGUAUGAUUUGUAAGGCAGUGUUUCCCAAUCCAGUCCUUGGGGAUCCACAGACAGUCCACAUAUUUGCUCCCUCCCUUGAGCUGGCAGGGAGCAAAAACGUGGACUGUCUGGCAGGGAGCAAAAACGUGGACUGUCUGGCAGGGAGCAAAAACGUGGACUGUCUGGCAGGGAGCAAAAACGUGGACUGUCGGGCAGGGGGCUGGGAGGGAAAAAAACGUGGAGUGUCUGUGGUUCCCCAAGGGAUUAAGAAACACCGCUGUAAGGAAUCAAGCCAGCGGAUCACA